CGGGUGAGUAAUGUAUGGGGAUCUGCCUGAUGGCGGGGGAUAACUACUGGAAACGGUAGCUAAUACCGCAUAAUGUCUGCGGACCAAAGCGGGGGACCUCCGGGCCUCGCGCCAUCAGAUGAACCCAUAUGGGAUUAGCUAGUAGGUAAGGUAACGACUUACCUAGGCGACGAUCCCUAGCUGGUCUGAGAGGAUGAUCAGCCACACUGGGACUGAGACACGGCCCAG
rnacentral:rRNA from 1 species